UUUAAAGUGGCAGAUUAAUUGUAUUGAAUUUAAGCUUCAAAAAUAGAAAAAUUUUUUUCUCUUUAAAG
rnacentral:tRNA from 1 species